rnacentral:rRNA from 1 species
GACGAACGCUGGCGGCGUGCUUAACACAUGCAAGUCGAACGGAAAGGCCCUUCGGGGUACUCGAGUGGCGAACGGGUGAGUAACACGUGGGUGAUCUGCCCUGCACUUUGGGAUAAGCCUGGGAAACUGGGUCUAAUACCGAAUAUGAUCAUCGGCUUCAUGGUCGGUGGUGGAAAGCUUUUGCGGUGUGGGAUGGGCCCGCGGCCUAUCAGCUUGUUGGUGGGGUAAUGGCCUACCAAGGCGACGACGGGUAGCCGGCCUGAGAGGGUGACCGGCUACACUGGGACUGAGAUACGGCCCAGACUCCUACGGGAGGCAGCAGUGGGGAAUAUUGCACAAUGGGCGCAAGCCUGAUGCAGCGACGCCGCGUGAGGGAUGACGGCCUUCGGGUUGUAAACCUCUUUCAGCACAGACGAAGCGCAAGUGACGGUAUGUGCAGAAGAAGGACCGGCCAACUACGUG